rnacentral:rRNA from 1 species
AACGAACGCUGGCGGCAUGCCUAACACAUGCAAGUCGAACGAACUUAGGACUGUACUUGUACAGUUACGGUUAGUGGCAGACGGGUGAGGAACACGUGGAAAUCUACCUAAUAGUAAGGAACAACAGUUGGAAACGACUGCUAAUACCUUAUACGCCCUACGGGGGAAAGUUUUAUCGCUAUUAGAUGAGUCCGCGCCUGAUUAGGUUGUUGGUAGGGUAAUGGCCUACCAAGCCUACGAUCAGUAGCUGGUCUGAGAGGAUGAUCAGCCACACUGGGACUGAGACACGGCCCAGACUCCUACGGGAGGCAGCAGUGAGGAAUAUUGCACAAUGGGCGAAAGCCUGAUGCAGCAAUGCCGCGUGGGUGAUGAAGGCCUUCGGGUUGUAAAGCCCUUUCGACAGGGAAGAUAAUGACGGUACCUGUUAAAGAAGCCCCGGCUAACUUCG